rnacentral:misc_RNA from 1 species
AAGUCGUAACAAGGUUUCCGUAGGUGAACCUGCGGAAGGAUCAUUAAUGAAUCAAUAAAGCGGGAUCAAACCUUAAUUUUUUUUAAGGUGAAGAUUUCGCGAAUCAUAUUUAAAACCCCACUCUUUUAUACAAAAAUGUUAUAUAUCAUAUAUAAUAAUAAAAAAAAGAUCACUUUCAACAACGGAUCUCUUGGCUCUC